rnacentral:rRNA from 1 species
UUCCAGACUCCUACGGGAGGCAGCAGUGGGGAAUAUUGCGCAAUGGAGGAAACUCUGACGCAGUGACGCCGCGUAUAGGAAGAAGGUUUUCGGAUUGUAAACUAUUGUCGUUAGGGAAGAUACAAGACAGUACCUAAGGAGGAAGCCCCGGCUAACUAUGUGCCAGCAGCCGCGGUAAUACAUAGGGGGCAAGCGUUAUCCGGAUUUAUUGGGUGUAAAGGGUGCGUAGACGGAGAAACAAGUUGGUUGUGAAAUCCCUCGGCUCAACUGAGGAACUGCAACCAAAACUAUUUCCCUUGAGUGUCGGAGAGGCAGACGGAAUUCCUAGUGUAGCGGUGAAAUGCGUAGAUAUUAGGAGGAACACCAGUGGCGAAGGCGGUCUGCUGGACAGCAACUGACGCUGAGGCGCGAAAGCGUGGGGAGCAAACAGGAUUAGAUACCCCUGUA